rnacentral:lncRNA from 1 species
GUUGUGAUGAUUCGUUUGCUCUCGCUAGUUGUGAAAGUCCUUUUGAGGCAUGAGCACAUCCAUAUUUUAGUUGGAGCUCCAUAACACACUCCAGUUGGCAAAAACUGGGCAGAACAUGUCAUGUUACUGGUUUAACCUGGUUUCGAGGUGGUUUCUAAAUUCAGACCAGCUAUGAAUUAAAUUCUCUCACUUUAUAAAGAGCAGCUUGAUAACCUUAUUUUCUAGAACAGGACAAUAAUUUUAAAGGAAGUGACUGAAGAUAGUCCUGCUGAAGCCUUCACUGAUGUCCAAAUUAAAGGGGAGAUUCCACCAUGAACAUGGAAGUUAAUACACAGAGCAAGGCACAGAAGAAGCUCAAGCUGACACAGAGGCACAGGCUUCCCCUUUACUCAUUACGUGAUCUUGGAAGAGAAUCAGUGAAUCCCCUCGACGUCCUGAUUUCCUCAUCAGUCAAGUGGGGAUGA